rnacentral:rRNA from 1 species
CCUUGUACACACCGCCCGUCACACCAUGGGAGCCGGUAAUACCCGAAGUCAGUAGUCCAACCACGUGAGGACGCUGCCGAAGGUAGGAUUGGCGACUGGGGUGAAGUCGUAACAAGGUAAC